rnacentral:SRP_RNA from 1 species
AAGGGGUUCUCUCGCAAUGAUAGGUAGUGAACCCCGCCAGGCCCGGAAGGGAGCAACGGUAACUAUUGACUCGUGUGCCGAGAUGUCGCUUCUUAGA